rnacentral:pre_miRNA from 1 species
AAACCGUUACCAUUAUUGCGUGUUAAUAAUGGUAACGGUUCUU